rnacentral:rRNA from 1 species
GACAGAGGGGGCAAGCGUUGCUCGGAAUUACUGGGCGUAAAGCGCGCGUAGGCGGCUUUGCAAGUCGGGUGUGAAAUCCCCAGGCUUAACCUGGGAACUGCAUUCGAGACUGCAUUGCUAGAGUAUGGGAGAGGGAAGUGGAAUUUCCGGUGUAGCGGUGAAAUGCGUAGAUAUCGGAAGGAACAUCAGUGGCGAAAGCGACUUCCUGGACCAAUACUGACGCUCAUGUGCGAAAGCGUGGGGAGCAAACAGG